rnacentral:rRNA from 1 species
AUUGAACGCUGGCGGCAUGCCUUACACAUGCAAGUCGAACGGUAACGCGGGGCAACCUGGCGGCGAGUGGCGAACGGGUGAGUAAUGUAUCCGAACGUGCCCAGGUGUGGGGGAUCACUGCUCGAAAGAGCAGCUAAUGCCGCAUACGACUCGAGGGGGAAAGCGGGGGAUCGCAAGACCGCGCGCCAUUGGAGCUGCCGAUAUCAGAUUCGGUAGUUGGUGGGGUAAAGGCCCCACAAGCCAACGAUCUGUAGCUGGUCUGAGAGGACGACCAGCCACACUGGGACUGAGACACGGCCCAGACUCCUACGGGAGGCAGCAGUGGGGAAUUUUGGACAAUGGACGCAGGUCUGAUCCAGCCAUGCCGCGUGCGGGAAGAAGGCCUUCGGGUUGUAAACCGCUUUUGUCAGGGAAGAAACGGUCUGGGUUAAUACCUCGGGCUAAUGACGGUACCUGAAGAAUAAGCACCGGCUAACUACGUGCCAGCCGCCGCAGUAAUAC